rnacentral:tRNA from 1 species
UGGGUUGUAGCUCAGUGUUAGGGUGCCUGCCUAGCACACACAAGGCCCUGGGUUCGAUUCCCCAGCAUCACAA